rnacentral:rRNA from 1 species
UUCGCAAUGCCCGAAAGGGUGACGAAGCGACGCCGCGUGUGGGAAGAAGGCCUUCGGGUUGUAAACCACUGUCGGGAGUUAAGAAAUGCAAGGAUAUGAAUAGUGUCUUUGCUUGACUAAGGCUCCGGAGGAAGCCACGGCUAACUCUGUGCCAGCAGCCGCGGUAAUACAGAGGCGGCAAGCGUUGUUCGGAAUUAUUGGGCGUAAAGAGCACGUAGGCGGCUAUGUAAGUCGGUUGUGAAAGCCUUCCGCUCAACGGGAGAACAGCAUCCGAUACUACAUGGCUUGAGUGCGGGAGGGGAGAGUGGAACUUCUGGUGGAGCGGUGAAAUGCGUAGAUAUCAGAAGGAACGCCAGCGGCGAAAGCGGCUCUCUGGCCCAUAACUGACGCUGAGUGUGCGAAAGCUAGGGGAGCAAACGGGAUUAGAUACCCCGGUAGUCCUAGCCGUAAACGAUGGGCACUAAGUAGAGGGGUUUU